rnacentral:rRNA from 1 species
ACGAACGCUGGCGGCGUGCUUAACACAUGCAAGUCGAACGGAAAGGCCCUGCUUUUGUGGGGUGCUCGAGUGGCGAACGGGUGAGUAACACGUGAGUAACCUGCCCUUGACUUUGGGAUGACUUCAGGAAACUGGGGCUAAUACCGGAUAGGAGCUCCUGCUGCAUGGUGGGGGUUGGAAAGUUUCGGCGGUUGGGGAUGGACUCGCGGCUUAUCAGCUUGUUGGUGGGGUAGUGGCUUACCAAGGCUUUGACGGGUAGCCGGCCUGAGAGGGUGACCGGCCACAUUGGGACUGAGAUACGGCCCAGACUCCUACGGGAGGCAGCAGUGGGGAAUAUUGCACAAUGGGCGGAAGCCUGAUGCAGCAACGCCGCGUGCGGGAUGACGGCCUUCGGGUUGUAAACCGCUUUCGCCUGUGACGAAGCGUGAGUGACGGUAAUGGGUAAAGAAGCACCGGCUAACUACGUG